rfam:Bipolaris zeicola 26-R-13 unplaced genomic scaffold scaffold_66, whole genome shotgun sequence.
GGUGAGAUGGCCGAGUUGGUUAUGGCGCCAGGUUAAGGUCUUCUUAACACUAUAUUCCUGGUCACGAAAGUGGCGUGGGUUCGAGUCCCACUCUCAUCA